GUAGCUUAACUGUGGGAAUUGCUGGAGAUACUAUUAGACUUGAGACCGGGAGAGGUUAGAGGUACUCCCAGGGUAGAGGUGAAAUUCUGUAAUCCUGGGAGGACCGCCUGUUGCGAAGGCGUCUAACUGGAACGGUUCUGACGGUGAGGGACGAAAGUUAGGGGCGCGAACCGGAUUAGAUACCCGGGUAGUCCUAACUGUAAACGAUGCGGACUUGGUGUUGGGGUGGCUUUGAGCUGCUCCAGUGCCGAAGGGAAGCUGUUAAGUCCGCCGCCUGGGAAGUACGGUCGCAAGACUGAAACUUAA
rnacentral:rRNA from 1 species